GAAUUCGCCCUUAGAGUUUGAUCCUGGCUCAGGACGAACGCUGGCGGCGUGCCUAACACAUGCAAGUCGAACGGAACUUCUUUAAUUGAUUUCUUCGGAAUGAUUUUGAUUAAGUUUAGUGGCGGACGGGUGAGUAACGCGUGAGUAACCUGCCUCUAAGAGGGGAAUAACAUUCUGAAAAGAAUGCUAAUACCGCAUAAUAUAUAUUUAUCGCAUGGUAGAUAUAUCAAAGAUUUAUCGCUUAGAGAUGGACUCGCGUCCGAUUAGUUAGUUGGUGAGGUAACGGCUCACCAAGACCGCGAUCGGUAGCCGGACUGAGAGGUUGAACGGCCACAUUGGGACUGAGACACGGCCCAGACUCCUACGGGAGGCAGCAGUGGGGGAUAUUGCGCAAUGGGGGAAACCCUGACGCAGCAACGCCGCGUGAAGGAUGAAGGUCUUCGGAUUGUAAACUUCUUUUAUUAAGGACGAAGAAAGUGACGGUACUUAAUGAAUAAGCUCCGGCUAACUACGUGCCAGCAGCCGCGGUAAUACGUAGGGAGCAAGCGUUGUCCGGAUUUACUGGGUGUAAAGGGUGCGUAGGCGGCUUUGCAAGUCAGAUGUGAAAUCUAUGGGCUCAACCCAUAGCCUGCAUUUGAAACUGCAGAGCUUGAGUGAAGUAGAGGCAGGCGGAAUUCCCCGUGUAGCGGUGAAAUGCGUAGAGAUGGGGAGGAACACCAGUGGCGAAGGCGGCCUGCUGGGCUUUAACUGACGCUGAGGCACGAAAGCGUGGGUAGCAAACAGGAUUAGAUACCCUGGUAGUCCACGCUGUAAACGAUGA
rnacentral:rRNA from 1 species